CUUCUAGUGUAUUAAAAAUGAAUAUCUUGGUAAACAACGACACCGUUUAGCGUCGCUGACUGAUGACGUAUUUUCUAUUAAAACAUCCAUAAGCAUUCUGGAACGACUAACAUUCUAUUGGAAGACGUUCUUUCACUCAUAGCAGUCCGGAGAUCCCCUGGAUCAGAGAUGACUUACAGGAGGGAGAGGAGUAUACGAGAUGCAUAUGAAGAGCGCUUUAUGCCUGAGAGAGCGGCGAGAGGUCAGUACUCUCGAGGAGGGGAAAGGCGAAGCCAUUUUGGCAGGCCCGAUAAUUACGACUACGAAGGAGGUCCUCGCUUUUUCCCAAAUGGAGGUGGCCCACGGAAUUACCAUGGAGAAGAUCAACGCGGGUACCAUGGGGAUGGCGGCGGGCAUUUCCCCUCGGAACGUAGAGGCGGACCACCGUCAAGAAGGCAGGAUGAUUAUUCAUACAGAGGACCCAGGGAGGAGCAACACACAGGACGGCCAAUGGAAUAUAACAACCGUGCACCACCACCUCGGACCCAAGGCAUGUACCCAGCGGCCCGAUCGUUACCAGAAAGUGGAUCUGACACGCUCAUGCAAGCUAUACUCAACCUGGACCGUGGGGAUGAAAGACAGGACUACCGGAGAAAGGCGCCGCCGUUCCCGACCCCAAGAGACCGCUCCCCCCACAGCCGCUCAGGUUCAAGCGUGAGCAGCAGGGGUUACUCGCCGGACCGCUCCAAAAGCCUCCCAUUUUCUUCACAACAAGGCAAGAAAAAGAUCCCGGGUCUGUCAAGAGAAGGCUCCCCGAGCAGCGCAAUCUCAAACAAGGAGGAGAACAUUGCACCUGAAGUAGAAAAAGAGGAUCCAUCGGCAAUUACUAUCAUCGAGGAGGUUCCGAAAACGACCACCGAUAACUUAAAGGAACGGAGAGCUCAAGCAAUUGCUGCUAAAGCCAAGGACAUUGAAAAGGUAUUCAAAGCAACUGAAAGACAUAUCACAUACAGGAGAAAUACGCGCGUAGGUGAAGUCUGACGGUAGGACGCCGAGAGUUGCCGCCAUGUAGCUGAUGGCCUCCAGAGUCUCCAAGUUCUCCUUACAUAGAGUGAACGCUGGAAGAAGCACUAAAGUGAGCAAUUAAGCAACAAAAGUCGACCCCGCUCCCGCAAUCGCACCGAGAUGGCCAUCUUGUCCUGGUCGUUGAAGCUUUUGGUCUCCACCAGUUUCCCGAACCUGCGGUUGAGGAAGUGAUGGACGGCCGUGCGAUGCUCCUUGUUGUCGUCCGGGUGAAACGUGUAGGACGAAUCUUGCACUUUGGCAUCGAUGAACCUGAAGAAGUCCUCCGCUUCCUCCUCGGUGACAAGCUGGGAGAGCUCCCUGUAGUCCGGGUCUUCACGAACUCUUAUCUCCGGUUGGAUGGUGACAGUCAUCAAGAACGGGAAGCUGUGUCGGACGGCCCGGUGCACGUUGGCUCUCUGGUACUUGUCGGUGAAGGAACCUAGUGAAAGCUCCUUGUGGCCCGACUUUUCACUGUCCUCCACCUCAUCGCGGAGACUCACCACAAACUGCUCCAGCUUCUCGCUCACCGCCUGACCCAAAACCAUGCUCAAGUCCAAACUGUCUGGGCUGGACAUGGUCAAAUCGAACCUGCAGUCGGUGGAGAUGUCGCAGUCCUCCAAACCUUGAAGGUUCUGGUCAUGCUUACAUUCCGCGCUCGUCUUAUCCGAGCAGUGAGGAGCCUGCACGUCUGUUUCUAUGUUCACCUGCCGUCCAUUUACGUCGAUUUCGGUCACCACGAAGUCUCGGAUGAACUUUUUAAUGUUUCCGUGAAAUCCUUCAUGGUUUGAUAUGAAACAAGCGGGGACUACGGUAGCAUCAGCGUCUUGCUUCAUUUUAAUGCUACUUCUAUGAAUAACUCGCUUUAUAAACGAACUGAAAAGCUGUAUUUUCCGAGUUUUUUUGUUCCAAAGAGAUGUUACGAAGCUAU